rnacentral:rRNA from 1 species
UACGAAGGGUGCAAGCGUUACUCGGAAUUACUGGGCGUAAAGCGUGCGUAGGCGGUCUGUUAAGUCCGUUGUGAAAGCCCUGGGCUCAACCUGGGAAUUGCAGUGGAUACUGGCGGGCUAGAGUGCGGUAGAGGAUGGUGGAAUUCCCGGUGUAGCGGUGAAAUGCGUAGAGAUCGGGAGGAACACCCGUGGCGAAGGCGGCCAUCUGGACCAGCACUGACGCUGAGGCACGAAAGCGUGGGGAGCAAACAGG